GGCUGGUCUCAAACUCCUGACCUCAAGUGAUCCACCCACCUCAGCCUCCCAAAGUGCUGGGAUUACAGGCAUGAGCCACCGCACCCGGCCCCACCUGCUUUAAACAACUAAAACACCUGACAGACUAUAUGAAACAGUGAUUCCAGACAUAGGACAACAGGCAGAAUGGGGAGGGCUGUUCUUGGGUGUUCCACCUUAGACCCAGGAAGAGUAGUCGCUUCUUGUAUCUGCUAUUCCUGAUUUUUUUUUUUUUUUUUGAGACAGAGUCUCGCUCUGUCACCCAGGCUGGAGUGCAAUGGCAGGAUCUCGGCUCAAUGCAACCUCUGCCCUCCCCAGUUCAAGCAAUUCUCCUGUCUCAGCCUCCUGAGUAGCUGGGAUUACAGGCACCCGCCAUCAUGCCCAGCUAAUUUUUGUAUUUUUGUAGAGACAGGGUUUCACCAUGUUGCCCAGGCUGGUCUUGAACUCCUGACCUCAGGUGAUCCACCUGCCUCAGCCUCCUAAAGUGCUGGGAUUACAGGCAUGAGCCACUGCAUCUGGCCCCCUAUUCCUGUAUUCAUUUAGAGUUCUGUUUAUUUCUUACUAGCCAAUCCCUUCUAACCUCAAUUCCUUGUUAAGUUAAUACCUUUUUACAUUAGACUGCAUGUGGUGGGUCACACCUGUGAUUCCAGCACUUUGGGAAGCUGAGGUGGGAGGAUUGCUUAAGUCCAGGAGUUCCAGACCAGCCUAGGCAACAUAGGGUGACCCUCUGUCUCUACAAAAGAAAUGUAAAAAUUAGCCAGGUGUGGUAGCACACGCUUGUGAUCCCAGCUACUCAGGAAGCUAAGGCUGGAGAACCACUUCAGCCCAGGAGGUGGAAGCUAUGGUGAGCCAUGAUUGCACCACUGCAUACCGGCAUGGGUAACAAAGCAAGACCUUGUCUCAAAAAAAAAUUUUUUUUCUUUUUACAUUAAACUUUCCCUGUUCAAAUUGCUGUGUGGUUUCUGCCUCUUGACUAGAUACUGACUGAUACAUGGGACAUCAAGUAGAGUCAUCAGAUGAUACUGCCUCAGUGGUGAGAGCAAAUUAGCCUUAGACCAAAGGCUAUUCUCCUCUUGCCAAAUGGUACCUAAAAGCACACCUUAAAAGGAUCAAUCUGUUUCCAAGGAACUUAACUAAGUCCCUGAACGAGGCUCAAAUAUAUUCAAAGGAAUACAAAAAAAUCUAGCACCAAACAACAUAAAAUAUACAAUGUCUGGCAUCCAAUCAAUAAUUACCAGGCAUGCAAAGACACAGGCAAAUAAUGACACAAAGCUGACCCAGAAAUGUCACAGAAUUAGUAGACAAGGACUUUAGCUCCAAUAGCUAUUAUUAAAUACCAUCCAUAUAUUCAAACAGAUAUGGAAAAACAUAAACACGAUGUAAAGAGGUGUGAAGAUAUAAAAUAAGACCUCAAUUGAACUUCUAAAGAUGAAAUGUAUAAUAUCUGAGAUGAAAAGUAUACUGGAUGGAAAUAAAAGCAGAUUAGACCCUGUAGAAAACAGGUUUUUGAAGACUUAGCAAUAGAAACUAUCCAAGAUGAAACACAGAGAGGAAAAAAAGACUUAAAAACAAAAAACAAAAAACAAAAACAAAACCUCCAAAACCAAAAUCCAGAAAAUCAGUGAGCUGUGGAAUAACAAGUAGCCUGUAUACCUGUUUGGAGACCAGAAACGUGGGUCUAACAGAUUCACAGGAGAGAUGACAGAAAAAAUAUCUGAAGGAACAAUAAUUUUCAAAUUUGAUGGAAACUAUAAAUCCCUAUGUCGAAGAAGCUCAAUAAACCCUAAGCAGAAGAAAUAUGAAGACAACUACACCAAGGGUACAUCAUAAUCUGCCUUAAUCACUGCUGAACACCAGUGAUAAAGACACAAAUCUUAAGAGCUGCCAGAGGAAAAAAACACAUUGUGUAAAAAGGAAAAAUAGAAGUGAUUUCUCGUCAGAAACAAUGCAACCCUGAAGACAGUGGAGUAAUGUCUUUAAAGUACGAAAAGAUAAAAACUGUCAACCUAGAAUUCAGUGGAGAUAUCUUUCAAAUAGGAAGAUGGAAUAAAGAUGCAUUCAGACAUUCCAAAAUUGAAAGAAUUCAUCAUCAGUAGACCUGCACUAGAAGAACGGCUUUAAAAAGUCCUUCAAGCAGAAGAAAAAUGAUACCAGAUGGAAAUCUCCGUCUACACAAAGGAAUGAAGAGAGCUGGAAAUGGUUCUCAAAUCCCCUGAAAUCCAUAGACUCCAGUCAAGAACCUCAAUUACAGCAUGGAAGGGGAAGAAAAGGUGGAAACCAUAAUUGAUGGAGCCUUUAACUCCCUGCGUCAUUUAAU
rnacentral:lncRNA from 1 species